GAUUUAACAGCUUUUGUUUUGGGCAGAAGAACCUAUGGGCACAAAAAGCAGGAACGAGUAGCGGUGGCUGAAGAACGAGCAGGAGCUUGAAUUUCAGUUUUCCUAUGAGGAAUUUUCCAGAAAAGAUAUCUUCACUGUGAAAUAACUAAAUAAAUGCCCACUCAGUACAGUCACUGUCUCCCUUUUGGAAUUUGAUGGCACCUUAAGCCCAGGUUUGCCUCCACUCUAGAAACUCAUCAGAGUGAUGCCCUUCUCAAAUGGGGGAGGUCCCAAAGGGGAUAUCCUGGCAGUGUGAAAAGCCGGCUAAAGCUUUCCCUGAGCUCCAAACACAGAGCUGAGACUUCCACCUAAUGUAGAAAGCUAGCACGAGCCGGCGCUGACAGAUGGAAGACUUGAGAUGUUACAAGAUUAUAUAUGGAAACACAAAAGGAGUGGAGUUGCUGGGUCAUAUGGCAAUUCAUUUGAGGAACUGAGAAGCUUAUUCCAUGGAGGCUGAACUGUUUUAUAUUCCCACCAGCAACGUGUAAGGUUCCAGUUUCUCUACAUCAUCACCAACACUUGCU
rnacentral:antisense_RNA from 1 species